UUGAAACGUUACUAGUACGCACCGCUAACUAGCUAGCCAUUUCAUACCGGUUACACAAGUUAGCUAGCUAGUUCAUUUGGAACUGUAAGUGCAAGCAAGAUAGCUACAUUUAAUGUUAUCUGUCUUUGAUUUGAUUUUCUCAGAUGAGUAUAUUGAAAUAUUUCCAGCCACAGAAGUGAAAGAGAAAGGGGGACAAGUGUCAGGACCUCGAUGACCCAGUGGGUCUUGACGCAUUCAACAUCAAGGAGGAGGAGGAGUGGAGAGGGAGAAGCCAAGUGGAGAAGACCAAGACCAGGGAGCUGUUCUGGGCUCGGUUCAGGUAAUGGAUCCAUAUCUUGUUGGCCUCCAGGACAGCCUAGACCGGAGGUUCCAACACCUGGAGAUUCUGGGGGCCUUCAGUGUGUUGGGCCCUCAGGCUGCGUUCUCUAUUGAGAGGAUAAACACCUUCAACCUGACCCUCCUCUCCAGGCAGUUCUUGCAAGCGCCAGAGGCUGCUGUGCUGCAAGAGUGGCCCUCUUACAAGCAACAUGUGCUAGUUGGAGCAUUCAAGGUAUGGCAUGAGUGUGACAAUCUUUUGAAGAGAAUAUUUUAGGCCAGUGUUGUCCAACCCUUUUUCCUGCUGAACUACCACUCUGUUGGCUCUUCUUUAAUGUUGUACAUCUUUUAGUAUUUCAUGUAUUUCAGGGGUUGGACCAGCUGACGGCAAUGACAAAGCUGGCCUCGCAGUUUGAUGAGUGGGGGCAGUCUACCCCUGCCUUAGCCAGCUGGCUGCAAUCGCACUGACUAUACCAGUGUCUUCCGUUAAUUGUGAGAGGGACUUCUCUGCAAUGAAACGAGUGAAAAAAGACUUGAGGAACAGACUGCAAGGUGAGCAUCUAGCCGCCUCUCCAUCAACGGUCCCCCCAUCAAGGAGCUCAAUUACAGGAGGGUGUUGGAAAUCUUUUUCAAAAAGCCCAGAAGAAUAAUGUGCUCUGACAAAGGCUGUAAACUAUGUCUGCACUAGGUUUUGUCAGAACCCUCCUUUUGUGAUGAACAUGAAUUAGUGGGCUCUAAUUCAUGUUCAGUCAAAUGUUCCUCUGUUAAUUUUUUCAAGAUAAACUUUUUAUUUCAGAAAGAAGGUCUCUGUUGUGUUUCUUUAGAUAGCUGCAGCACUCAAACUUAAAUUGCAUCCUGUAUACUAUAAUCAUACAUUAUUGAGCUAAUUUCUGGGGAUGGAACUUAUAUUUUAGAUGGUUUAUUGGAGUUCUUUCCUUUUAAAAAGUCACCAGAACCAAGCUUUUCAGUCCUUAUACAUAUUUUGUUUUGUGGGGGAGGACCCCGGAACCCCCCUUCCUUAACCCAGAGGUGGCAGAAAUAAGUACUCGUGUUGGGGUGUAGAGUUGGAGCAUAGCCUGAAGGUAGGGAGAGGCAGUUCCUCUUGCUGCUCAGUAGGCAAGUACCAUGGUC